rnacentral:rRNA from 1 species
UAGGGAAUCUUCCGCAAUGGGCGAAAGCCUGACGGAGCAACGCCGCGUGAGUGAUGAAGGUCUUCGGAUCGUAAAACUCUGUUAUUAGGGAAGAACAAAUGUGUAAGUAACUAUGCACGUCUUGACGGUACCUAAUCAGAAAGCCACGGCUAACUACGUGCCAGCAGCCGCGGUAAUACGUAGGUGGCAAGCGUUAUCCGGAAUUAUUGGGCGUAAAGCGCGCGUAGGCGGUUUUUUAAGUCUGAUGUGAAAGCCCACGGCUCAACCGUGGAGGGUCAUUGGAAACUGGAAAACUUGAGUGCAGAAGAGGAAAGUGGAAUUCCUUGUGUAGCGGUGAAAUGCGCAGAGAUAUGGAGGAACACCAGUGGCGAAGGCGACUUUCUGGUCUGUAACUGACGCUGAUGUGCGAAAGCGUGGGGAUCAAACAGG